rnacentral:rRNA from 1 species
AUGGCGUCUGGGGCGGUGAGACCUAAGCUCGCGUACAUCGUGUGUUACGUCAAAGACGUGCCCAAGUCGGCCGCCUUCUACGCCGACGCCUUCGGCUACAGCGUCCGCCGCGUCGACGACUCUCACAAGUGGGCGGAGCUGGACACCGGCUCGACGACCAUCGCGUUCACGCCGCUGCACCAGAGGGAGACGGACGCACUCACGGGCGAGGUGCAGCUGCCCAAGUCGCCCCGCGAGCGAGGGCCCGUGGAGAUCUGCUUCGACUACGACGACGUCGACGCCGCGUACCGGCGGGCCGUGGAGAACGGGGCGGUGCCGGUGAGCGCGCCGGAGCAGAAAAACUGGGGGCAGAAGGUCGGCUACGUCAGGGACUGUGACGGGAUCACCGUGCGCCUUGGGAGCCACGUCCGCGAGUAG